UACGAAGGGGGCUAGCGUUGUUCGGAAUCACUGGGCGUAAAGCGCAUGCAGGCGGAUUGUUAAGUCGGGGGUGAAAUCCCGAGGCUCAACCUCGGAACUGCCUUCGAUACUGGCAAUCUUGAGUCCGGGAGAGGUGAGUGGAAUGCCGAGUGUAGAGGUGAAAUUCGUAGAUAUUCGGCGGAACACCAGUGGCGAAGGCGACUCACUGGCCCGAUACUGACGCUGAGGCGCGAAAGCGUGGGGAGCAAACAGG
rnacentral:rRNA from 1 species